GGCAGUUCUCAGGUGACACACCCCGGAAUCGGGCUCCCUCCUCUCUGGUUCUGGGGUGCAUCACCUGAGAACCGCU
rfam:Myotis lucifugus cont2.13052, whole genome shotgun sequence.